rnacentral:lncRNA from 1 species
UACCGCCGGUAAGAGCUAUUGUCGCGGCCUCCAUCUCCGCCGCCGCCGCCGGGAGAGGAGGAUGGGAAGCAGCUACUACGCAGCAGCGGCAGCAGCAUCCCAGACGAGGAGAGGCAGGAAGCGCAGGCGCGCGGCGGGGGCGGGGCCGCGGCGGGGGCGGGGCCACGGCGGCGGCGGUGACCGGGCGAGCGCCCCCUGCCUGCCGGAGGACUGCCGGGGCCAACACCCGUGAUUGUGCGGUUGCUCCCUGAUCUCCCAGGCCGGCAGCCUUUGCUCUUUCCCCGCCUCCUGCUCUCAUUCGCCCCCCACUUCGGCCCGGGCCGUUCUGUCCGCUAGUUUGUUGUUUCUUUUUCACCUUCCCCCUCUGUUGCACUGUGCGCAGCCCUCAAACGCCACGCCCGCUAUUAAUCGUCUGCCUUUCCCUGAACCUAGGAGAGCCCCGGAAUCAGUGCUGCGAACCCCAGUUGGUUGGUGGGGACCCCGGGCGGUGCCAGGCCAGGCCCGUGCUGCCCGUGCGGCGCAUCGGGGGUCUCAUUUGGACGCGCAGUCAGGCACCGACAGCAGCCACAGCCUGGCCCCGCGGCUGUCUGCCGUUUCGUACGGAAAUACACAAGGAAGAGAAUCAUGACCCUCUUUUCACCCAGCGAUAUCAGGAAAAAACAACAAACCAUCUAUGCUCACUAUAUAAAUGUAAGGCAGUAAAGAAACUGAUUUAUGCACGAUUUUUGGAAAUACUGAGGCUUUACAAAGUGAAACACAUCGGCAAAGCCUCUAUUUUCCUUGAUAGAAAUCAAACACCUAUCCAAGAGAGUACAUCUAACAUAGAAAAAUUCAGAAAGUGGCAACCACAGGGUGAUUCCAAAAUGCUUGUGCAGACGGCCUUCAGGGUGGUAGAAAUGCUAAUGCUGGCAUUUUCGAUUUGGCGCAUUAUGGGGAAGCCUGAAUAUGAGUUUUAA